rnacentral:rRNA from 1 species
GCAAGUCGAACGAGAAAGCACCUUCGGGUGUGAGUAGAGUGGCGCACGGGUGAGUAACACGUAGAUAACCUACCCUUUGGUGGAGGAUAACCAGGAGAAAUCCUGGCUAAUACUGCAUAAGUUGGUAACAAGAAAGGAUGCUUCGGCAUUCGCCGAUGGAUGGGUCUGCGGGACAUUAGCUUGAUGGUGGGGUAAUGGCCUACCAUGGCGACGAUGUCUAGCUGGUCUGAGAGGAUGAUC